CCGACGGUACCGUUCGGCCUUUAGGAUACCUAGUGUCCUUCACUAGGCUAGUGAGAGGUAUUCUGUACUUUUGCACUCGCCAGUUAUCAUGAAUGUAUCUUUGAUAAUAAGAUCUAAGUUUGAUUUCAUAUACAACAUUUAAUGGCGUGUGAUUGUCUAAAUUGACUGAGUUUCACAAAAAAACACAUUGGAGAAGAUGGCCAGAAGGCUGCCUUAGGAAUAAUGUGUUGUAAUUCAUAUACAUAUAAACCCCAAAUAACCAAGCCUCAUUAAUACUGGUGAGAGAUGGCGCCCUAACAGCACAUGCCCUUGGUGUUUGUGUACAUGUAUUUAUGAAAACAACAUGCAAGAAACUAACAAAUAAAUAAGGAAUAGACUAGUAUGGACGACAAACUCAAAGUGCAAAAUUGGGCAUGCUUGUGUGAGAUUAUGCGACAUUAGGCGACAUUAAGCAAAUAGACUGUCGGG